rnacentral:lncRNA from 1 species
GAAGCAGGAAAGAUCAGACAUUCCAUCCUCCGGGUGUUUGUCACAGUUCAGCAUCCAAGCUGAAUCUCUAGUUACCAUGGAUGGAGAUGACCUUUCCUGGCUAUGCUAGCCAGCUUUCUGACCUCAAAAAAAACACCAGCAUUUAAGGCCAAGAAUCUGAAUCUUUGAGUUUCCUUCCCCCACACCCAAUCCACCUGCUGAAGCCUAGUGACCAGCUGAACAGAACGGAGAGGUAGAAGAUUCAGGAGGCAACCACAUACAGUGAUCUGGAACAAGAUGGGAGACGUUCUCAUGCUUUAUCUGGAUGCUAGUAUCAAGACAGCCAAGGAGCUGUGUGUGGCCCGUUCUACCAGGAGCAGUGAUAGUGUGUUAGCCCACAGUGUGAUCUCUGUAGAUAACAGCACGAUGCCUCCAGAUAAAAAGGCUAGACAUGCCCGUGGACUGAGGAAAAACGCCUGCACCUUAAACAGAACCCUGAAAUGAACAGGCUGCUGCAAUUGUGCCUUUGUCGGGGUGCUGCUCCAUCUGAAAGGUUUGCUCCUGGGCAACAAGGACCACUUCCAUCUGAAACAGCCUUGGUACCUUCCGUUUAUCUGAGACUUGCUCGGCACUUUCCAUCUAUCUGAGACUCACUGCCCUUCCUGGGGUUUGCAACCAUUUCAAAAUGUUUAAGAAACAUGGAUAGAACAUGAUUGACAUCCCACAGCAAAGUGGCUCCCAAUGAAGAUAACGGAUCUAAGCUCACGAACUCAAGCUGAACCCUCCCAGAAGGAGAGAUGGAAAGGUUUGACACAGACAUUCAUGCACAAGGAGCUACUGAUGCCUCCGAGAACAGGGACUUGUGAUCCUUUUUACGGACUGACACUCGAAAGCAGGAAGUGUGGGUGACUGUCAGAAAAGAUGGCUGCCAGCACAUAUUUGAUUCCCCCGAAGGUUAUCCCUAUGAGCUCAGAUUCAUUUGUCCCAUGAUUGCCAACUGGAUGUCCUCAUGUCCAUGGGGUCUGAGCAGGCCAUGAGAGACAGACACAUAUUCAAAACUGAGAACUGCCACCAUCUAUCCGUCCACCACCACGGGAAAAGCUUGCCGUGUAUCUCAACUGAGGGAGACUUAGUUAAGAUGGCCGAGAUUGCUUCUCCCAGGCUAGAGACACCUGGGAGAGGAUCCUGUGCCUUUGCAGAACAUUUUCCGGUGAAGAACGUGGGUACCGGCAAGACAACAGGGAAGUUUGCUCUCAUGCAUCAAACAUGAUAACGGAGCUAUGGACGGCAAAGGCGGGAGCACUGAAGACACAGUUUAGGAGCGAAAUGACGAGCUUGAUGUGGUGACCUAAGAGUGAUGCUCCGAAUCCAGAGUCUGUCUUCAAAACCCUGGCUCAGGCCUGAGCAGCCUAAGAAGUCACAGCACCUAAAGGCCACCAUUGCAGGAAGCUGCAACAGAAAGAGAGCAUUGGUUCCUGCUGUGACAGAUGCCCAAGCUUCCUGUGGAUAGCUGUGAAGUUAUUUACCCCAAAUCUAUUCAAAUGCAAACUGUUACCCCCUACCCCUCCACUCAUACCCUGUUAACCUUUUCUCUAUCCUAAACUAGCUCCUUCUGCCUCAACCGAGGUUUGUUCAAGGUUCUAAAUUCUUUGCCAUACAAAGCCCUAGCAUGGUAUUUUUUUCACACGGGCCUUCCACAAAUAUUUGCAGAAUGUUCACAAAACAUAACAUGAUUGUUCAGUCAACUGCACGUGUAGAUGCUGCAGUGUGAUGGAGAAGAAAGGUAGAUAGUCGUUCUGGUUCAGCUACACAGGGGCACAGCCUCAUAAGGGAAGCAAUGACCAGAAAAUCGCAAGGCAUCAAAACUCAAAGAGGGACUUUGACCCAGCUCUGCAUCUAACCUAUGAGCUCGGCUACCUACUCAAGCAGGUAUUUCAGACACCCAGAAAUCAAACCUCAGUGUGAUGUCACCUUUGGGGACUGGGACGCAUUUCUGGAUGUGACUAUUGGGGGAAAGAAUGUGUUUAAUUCAAAUACACCAUCGAGUCUGUCAUCCCUACCGUCUUACGUGACAAUUUUGAUAUGAAAGGGAGGGAGAAGGGAGGAAGGGGGAAGGUAGGACAACAUUUAGCUGAGGAAUCCUCACAGACACUAUUUCAGGGCUGGGGCCCACUGUCCAGUGGGCAGCCAGGCGGUGCCUCACAUCUUAGGUGGCCUUUAGGACAGGUUAAUCUGCCACCCAAACAGACUCUUCUCAGUUGAGGGAUCUGAAAAGCCAGGAGCUCUAUUCCAUCCUAAACAGGCUCUUCAGAGGACAGGAGAAGGCCACCUCAAUGUCGACCUGGGCUGGACCUUCAGUGACCAUGAGAAGAGGGUGCCGAGCUGAGCCUGGUACAAAGCUACCAGCCAAGAAGGACAGACUUCCUGAGGGCAGAAGAGAGGGACAGAGGGGCAGAGUUUCCAGUGUCUCAAAGCUUGGUCUGCUUUCACAUAAUAUUUUCCCCUCCAAUUAAACAUCCAUUUCUUUUCAAAGGAAACCUAAUUUAAACAAUGUGUUACUGUAAUUAAAUAAAGAACUCAGAGAUACAAACAGCAACAUUCUUGUCUGAAAUUAAAUCUUUCCUGGCUCCUAGGCCUGCCAGGAUAUUGAGGGUCAGAAAAAUAUCAAGAACAGGCAGCUGAUUCUCAGGUGUCAAGCUCAAAAUCAGCAAGAAUCGGGUAGCAGAUGCAGAAGUCUGACUGGGAGCGAGAUCCCUCUCCCCUCUCCACCACGCACUAGGAGUGGAUACUAAAGCCAGAGGAAGGCUGACAACAUGAGGUGUUUCACAAAGGACAACAGGACGACAAGAGCUACCCUCAUCAUACAGAGAUCAAAAAGUAACCAGACGACAUGAGAGCCCUUCCCAACUCCAGCUAAGUGUCAGUGAGAAGGGACAAGUCGCAGCAGGGCUUUUCCCUGAGUUUGUGUGGAAGGAACAAGAACCGUUCUCUCUAUCAGGAACAACAGAUAACCAGAGCCAGAAAGAACACUUCUGUUAUCAGAAUGAUGCUCUACCACACACAUCUAUCUGAUCUUGACCACUAGAAUGAAGCUCACCCUCACUGUCAAGUGCCAGGUUUGAGAGCAGGGCAUCCGAACUGGCCUUUCAAUCCUAGGGCCCUCUUCCCUACUGUUUCCAAACCAACUAAGCCAAAACUGUAGUUCUGGUGAGGCUGUUGAGAAGACUCAGAGGUUAAAAGUACUUGCUGCUCUAUGGAGGACUCAGGUUCAGUUCCCAACACCCAUAUGAUCGCUCAUGAUCAUCUACAACUCCUGUUGCAGUGACUCUAGUGCCCUCUUCUGGCCUCUACAGGCUUCUGCAUGCCCGUGGUGCAUAUAAACUCAUACAGGAGAAUACACAUAUACAUAAAGUAAGUAUCAGAUGGACAUGUGGUAGAAGCCUUUAAUCCAAGCAAACCGAGAUAUAAAGGCAGGUGGGGUGGAUCUCUGUGAGUUUGAGGCCAGCCUACUCUAAACAAUGAAUUCCAGGCCAGUCACAGCUACAUAAUGAUUCUCCCUCCCUCCUUUCCCCUCCCUCCAUCCCUCCCUCUCUGUUUCUAUCUCUGUCUCUCUCUGUCUCUUUCUCUAUGCGUGUAUAUCUGUCUGUCUGUCUCCUUCCUCUCUCCCUCCCUUCCUUCUCCUCUCCUCUCCUCUCCUCUCUCCUUUCUCUCCUCUCUCUUUCUCUCUCUCUCUCUCUCUCUCUCUCUCUCUCUCACACACACACACACACAACACACACACCAAAUAAUAGAUUUAAGAAACUGAAAGUUUUCCUUAUUUAUCUUACCUGGAAAAAGCUAAACAGUUAAGAAGUACCAAAAAAAAAAAAAUGCAUUGAUAGCUAGACUUUAAAAAAAAAAAAAAAAAGGUGGGGGAAGGGGGAGCCUGCCGCGGCAUGACACUUCGUGGGUGCUAGAUGCUCGUUUAUGAAUAUGUGCACUGUUAAUCAACAGGCUCUUUGUGGUUGCAGUAACAGAAAUGUGAUUAGACAGGGAGCUCAGAAGGAAAGAUGGGCCUGGUAGAGUCCUGGGAAGGUACAUCCCAGAAAAGGCACAAGCAGCCAGCUUCCAGGGCAGAGGUAUCCCAGCCAUGCAGCUUCACGUUUUCCUUCUUCUGCAGAGGUUCAUACACCCACAAGCACCAUAGCCAAGGCUCACCACAACCUGGAGAGACUGGGGAAGGCCUGCUUGUACAGGCUUGCUUGUGCAAGUGUGUAUGAGCUGCCCAUCCAGGACCACCAAGUGUGGCCAGAGGGUAGAUAGUACAGUAUGGUGGUGACCCUCUUGAUCACUGUGUUCUUGCUAUGUACAAAAGAGGGGUCAAGCAAUAGGUUGUUGUGUAUACGAUCCCAAAGGCAAAGGAUUAAUGAGAGAACCAGGAAAGGUUAAAAGUAGGCCACGAAAGGGCUAUGUGGCUAUAAAGAUAACCACCCUUUAUCUGCACUGUAACCUGAUACCCUGGUCAUCAUGGGUUAGUAAGAAAAUGUCCAUGGCUCUUGUGUCUCUUGCCUCUAUAAAGCUGUUGCAUAUGCUACCUAGGAAACAGCAAGACUCUAGACUCCAAACUAUAUCUCCGGUCACUAGAUAGUGGUAUGCUAAACCAGGGGAAACCUUUGCUCUGCUUUCCUCAGAUGUCUGGAUACACAGGGAUUACUUCUGCACCCAUGAAGCCCACCUGCCAGCUCUCACGCUCCUCAGAGUGAAGUCACAUUGAGGGAAAGAGAUGGUUAGUGAGGGAGAGAAGAGAUGCAGGGAUACUGGUCAGGAGGCAAGGUGAGGGUUCUGUGACAUUGGCAUGAGAGACAAAGGUCCUAGCCCAGGUGCCUCAAGUUGUCCUUUGACCCUGGAACUCCCAAGCCUUCUUAGAACCUCAAAGCCCAGUCCUCGAUGGACGCUAAGCUGAUUGAGGUGGGGACAGAGGCAACAAGCCCAACUGUUGACCUCAUGUCCUUGUGGGUAACACUGCAGACAAUUGUAUAGCAAAUGGAGAUAUUCUCUCUCUCUCUCUCUCUCUCUCUCUCUCUCUCUCUCU